AAUACUUUAUGCGUCAAAAGGAUUCGUCUGCCCAAGGAUGGGUCUGCGGCCUAUCAGGUAGUAGUGGGUGUAAUGUACCUACUAGCCAGCGACGGGUACGGGUUGUGAGAGCAAGAGCCCGGAGAUGGAUUCUGAGACAUGAAUCCAGGCCCUACGGGGCGCAGCAGGCGCGAAAACUUUACAAUGCGGGAAACCGUGAUAAGGGGACACCGAGUGCCAGCAUCAUAUGCUGGCUGUCCGGAUGUGUAAAAUACAUCCGUUAGCAAGGGCCGGGCAAGACCGGUGCCAGCCGCCGCGGUAACACCGGCGGCCCGAGUGGUGAUCGUGAUUAUUGGGUCUAAAGGGUCCGUAGCCGGUUUGGUCAGUCCUCCGGGAAAUCUGAUAGCUCAACUAUUAGGCUUUCGGGGGAUACUGCCAGACUUGGAACCGGGAGAGGUAAGAGGUACUACAGGGGUAGGAGUGAAAUCUUGUAAUCCCUGUGGGACCACCUGUGGCGAAGGCGUCUUACCAGAACGGGUUCGACGGUGAGGGACGAAGGCUGGGGGCACGAACCGGAUUAGAUACCCGGGUAGUCCCAGCCGUAAACGAUGCUCGCUANGUGUCAGGCAUGGCGCGACCGUGUCUGGUGCCGCANGGAAGCCGUGAAGCGAGCCACCUGGGAAGUACGGCCGCAAGGCUGAAACUUAAAGGAAUUGCNGGGGAACACAACAACCGGGUUGGANCCUGCNGUUUAAUUUGGACUCAACGCCCGGACAACUCAACGGGGGGCCACAAGCAA
rnacentral:rRNA from 1 species